rnacentral:rRNA from 1 species
CCUACGGGAGGCAGCAGUGAGGAAUAUUGGUCAAUGGGCGGAAGCCUGAACCAGCCAAGUAGCGUGCGGGAUGAAGGCCCUACGGGUCGUAAACCGCUUUUGCACGGGGAUAACACCCUCCACUUGUGCCGGUCUGCAGGUACCUUGCGAAUAAGGGUCGGCUAAUUCCGUGCCAGCAGCCGCGGUAAUACGGAAGGCCCGAGCGUUAUCCGGAUUUAUUGGGCUUAAAGGGGGCGUAGGCGGGCGGUCAAGUCAGCGGUAAAAUCGCGGGGCUCAACCGCGCCCCGCAGUUGAAACUGGACGCCUUGAGUAGACAACAGGCAGGCGGAAUUCGUGGUGUAGCGGUGAAAUGCAUAGAUAUCACGAGGAACCCCGAUUGCGAAGGCAGCCUGCCGGGGUGCGACUGACGCUGAGGCUCGAAGGUGCGGGUAUCAAACAGGAUUAGAUACCCCAGUAGUC